GAUGAACGCUGGCGGCGUGCCUAAUACAUGCAAGUCGAGCGAACGGACGAGAAGCUUGCUUCUCUGAUGUUAGCGGCGGACGGGUGAGUAACACGUGGAUGACCUACCUAUAAGACUGGGAUAACUUCGGGAAACCGGAGCUAAUACCGGAUAAUAUUUUGAACCGCAUGGUUCAAAAGUGAAAGACGGUCUUGCUGUCACUUAUAGAUGGAUCCGCGCUGCAUUAGCUAGUUGGUAAGGUAACGGCUUACCAAGGCAACGAUGCAUAGCCGACCUGAGAGGGUGAUCGGCCACACUGGAACUGAGACACGGUCCAGACUCCUACGGGAGGCAGCAGUAGGGAAUCUUCCGCAAUGGGCGGAAGCCUGACGGAGCAACGCCGCGUGAGUGAUGAAGGUCUUCGGAUCGUAAAACUCUGUUAUUAGGGAAGAACAUAUGUGUAAGUAACUGUGCACAUCUUGACGGUACCUAAUCAGAAAGCCACGGCUAACUACGUGCCAGCAGCCGCGGUAAUACGUAGGUGGCAAGCGUUAUCCGGAAUUAUUGGGCGUAAAGCGCGCGUAGGCGGUUUUUUAAGUCUGAUGUGAAAGCCCACGGCUCAACCGUGGAGGGUCAUUGGAAACUGGAAAACUUGAGUGCAGAAGAGGAAAGUGGAAUUCCAUGUGUAGCGGUGAAAUGCGCAGAGAUAUGGAGGAACACCAGUGGCGAAGGCGACUUUCUGGUCUGUAACUGACGCUGAUGUGCGAAAGCGUGGGGAUCAAACAGGAUUAGAUACCCUGGUAGUCCACGCCGUAAACGAUGAGUGCUAAGUGUUAGGGGGUUUCCGCCCCUUAGUGCUGCAGCUAACGCAUUAAGCACUCCGCCUGGGGAGUACGACCGCAAGGUUGAAACUCAAAGGAAUUGACGGGGACCCGCACAAGCGGUGGAGCAUGUGGUUUAAUUCGAAGCAACGCGAAGAACCUUACCAAAUCUUGACAUCCUUUGACAACUCUAGAGAUAGAGCCUUCCCCUUCGGGGGACAAAGUGACAGGUGGUGCGUGGUUGUCGUCAGCUCGUGUCGUGAGAUGUUGGGUUAAGUCCCGCAACGAGCGCAACCCUUAAGCUUAGUUGCCAUCAUUAAGUUGGGCACUCUAAGUUGACUGCCGGUGACAAACCGGAGGAAGGUGGGGAUGACGUCAAAUCAUCAUGCCCCUUAUGAUUUGGGCUACACACGUGCUACAAUGGACAAUACAAAGGGCAGCGAAACCGCGAGGUCAAGCAAAUCCCAUAAAGUUGUUCUCAGUUCGGAUUGUAGUCUGCAACUCGACUACAUGAAGCUGGAAUCGCUAGUAAUCGUAGAUCAGCAUGCUACGGUGAAUACGUUCCCGGGUCU
rnacentral:rRNA from 1 species